rnacentral:tRNA from 1 species
GUCAAAAUAGCUCAGAGUUGGGAGAGCGUUAUACUGAAGAUCUAAAGGUCCCUGGUUUGAUCCCGGGUUUCGGCA